AUACGAAGGGGGCUAGCCGUUGUUCGGAAUUACUGGGCCGUAAAGCGCAUGUAGGCGGACAUUUAAGUCAGGGGUGAAAUCCCGGGGCUCAACCUCGGAACUGCCUUUGAUACUGGGUGUCUAGAGUGUGGAAGAGGUAAGUGGAAUUCCGAGUGUAGAGGUGAAAUUCGUAGAUAUUCGGAGGAACACCCAGUGGCGAAGGCGGCUUACUGGUCCAUUACUGACGCUGAGGUGCGAAAGCGUGGGGAGC
rnacentral:rRNA from 1 species